AGUGAACGCUGGCGGUAGGCCUAACACAUGCCAGUCGAACGGCAGCACAGUAAGAGCUUGCUCUUACGGGUGGCGAGUGGCGGACGGGUGAGGAAUACAUCGGAAUCUACUUUUUCGUGGGGGAUAACGUAGGGAAACUUACGCUAAUACCGCAUACGACCUACGGGUGAAAGCAGGGGAUCUUCGGACCUUGCGCGAUUGAAUGAGCCGAUGUCGGAUUAGCUAGUUGGCGGGGUAAAGGCCCACCAAGGCGACGAUCCGUAGCUGGUCUGCGAGGAUGAUCAGCCACACUGGGACGGAGACACGGUCCAGACUCCUACGGGAGGCAGCAGUGGGGAAUAUUGGACAAUGGGCGCAAGCCUGAUCCAGCCAUACCGCGUGGGUGAAGAAGGCCUUCGGGUUGUAAAGCCCUUUUGUUGGGAAAGAAAAGCAGCAGGUUAAUACCCCGCUGUUCUGACGGUACCCAAAGAAUAAGCACCGGCUAACUUCGUG
rnacentral:rRNA from 1 species